UACGAAGGGGACUAGCGUUGUUCGGAAUACUGGGCGUAAAGCGCACGUAGGCGGUUCUGUAAGUCAGAGGUGAAAGCCUGGAGCUCAACUCCAGAACUGCCUUUGAGACUGCAUCGCUUGAAUCCAGGAGAGGUGAGUGGAAUUCCGAGUGUAGAGGUGAAAUUCGUAGAUAUUCGGAAGAACACCAGUGGCGAAGGCGGCUCACUGGACUGGUAUUGACGCUGAGGUGCGAAAGCGUGGGGAGCAAACAGG
rnacentral:rRNA from 1 species